rnacentral:rRNA from 1 species
GACGAACCGUACGAACGUUAUUCGGAAUUACUGGGCGUAAAGGGCGCGUAGGCGGCCUGUCAAGUCAACUGUGAAAUCUCCGGGCUUAACUCGGAACGGUCAGUUGAUACUGUCAGGCUAGAGUGCAGAAGGGGCAAUCGGAAUUCUUGGUGUAGCGGUGAAAUGCGUAGAUAUCAAGAGGAACACCUGAGGUGAAGACGGGUUGCUGGGCUGACACUGACGCUGAGGCGCGAAAGCCAGGGGAGCAAACGGG